CGGGGUGCAGCAGGCGCGAAAACUUUACAAUGCGGGAAACCGUGAUAAGGGGACACCGAGUGCCAGCAUCAUAUGCUGGCUGUCCAGGUGUGUAAAAUACACCUGUUAGCAAGGGCCGGGCAAGACCGGUGCCAGCCGCCGCGGUAACACCGGCGGCCCGAGUGGUGAUCGUGAUUAUUGGGUCUAAAGGGUCCGUAGCCGGUUUGGUCAGUCCUCCGGGAAAUCUGACGGCUCAACCGUUAGGCUUUCGGGGGAUACUGCCGGGCUUGGAACCGGGAGAGGUAAGAGGUACUACAGGGGUAGGAGUGAAAUCUUGUAAUCCCUGUGAGACCACCUGUGGCGAAGGCGUCUUACCAGAACGGGUUCGACGGUGAGGGACGAAAGCUGGGGGCACGAACCGGAUUAGAUACCCGGGUAGUCCCAGCCGUAAACGAUGCUCGCUAGGUGUCAGGCAUGGCGCGACCGUGUCUGGUGCCGCAGGGAAGCCGUGAAGCGAGCCACCUGGGAAGUACGGCCGCAAGGCUGAAACUUAAAGGAAUUGGCGGGGGAGCACAAGGGCGAAUCGCGG
rnacentral:rRNA from 1 species